rnacentral:rRNA from 1 species
UAGUGUAGUUAACACCUGCAUUAUUUGACGUUACCUACAGAAGAAGCACCGGCUAACUCCGUGCCAGCAGCCGCGGUAAUACGGAGGGUGCGAGCGUUAAUCGGAAUUACUGGGCGUAAAGCGCAUGCAGGCGGCCUGUUAAGUCAGAUGUGAAAGACCCGGGGCGUUAACCUCGGAAAUUGCAUUUGAAACUGGCAGGCUAGAGUCUUGUAGAGGGGGGUAGGAAGUUUCUAGGUGUAGCGGUGAAAUAGCGUAGAGAUCUGAAGGAAUACCAGUGGCGAAGGCGGCCCCCUCGGACAAAGACUGACGCUCAGAUGCGAAAGCGUGGGGAGCAAACAGGAUUAGAUACCCUGGUAG